rnacentral:rRNA from 1 species
GACGAACGCUGGCGGCGUGCUUAACACAUGCAAGUCGAACGGAAAGGCCCUGCUUUUGUGGGGUGCUCGAGUGGCGAACGGGUGAGUAACACGUGAGUAACCUGCCCUUGACUUUGGGAUAACUUCAGGAAACUGGGGCUAAUACCGGAUAGGAGCUCCUGCUGCAUGGUGGGGGUUGGAAAGUUUCGGCGGUUGGGGAUGGACUCGCGGCUUAUCAGCUUGUUGGUGGGGUAGUGGCUUACCAAGGCUUUGACGGGUAGCCGGCCUGAGAGGGGGACCGGCCACAUUGGGACUGAGAUACGGACCAGACUCCUACGGGAGGCAGCAGUGGGGAAUAUUGCACAAUGGGCGGAAGCCUGAUGCAGCAACGCCGCGUGCGGGAUGACGGCCUUCGGGUUGUAAACCGCUUUCGCCUGUGACGAAGCGUGAGUGACGGUAAUGGGUAAAGAAGCACCGGCUAACUACGUG